UACGGAAGGGGGCUAGCGUUGUUCGGAAUUACUGGGCGUAAAGCGUGCGCAGGCGGCGCGUUAAGACAGGUGUCGAAAGCCCCGAGCUUAACUUGGGAAUUGCGCUUGUGACUGGCGUGCUGGAGUGUGGCAGAGGGAGGUGGAAUUCCACGUGUAGCAGUGAAAUGCGUAGAGAUGUGGAGGAACACCGAUGGCGAAGGCAGCCUCCUGGGCCAGCACUGACGCUCAUGCACGAAAGCGUGGGGAGCAAACAGG
rnacentral:rRNA from 1 species